GACGAACCGUGCAAACGUUAUUCGGAAUCACUGGGCAUAAAGGGCGCGUAGGCGGCUUCAUAAGUCAGGGGUGAAAUCCGGCAGCUUAACUGUCGCAGUGCCUUUGAUACUGUGGAGCUCGAGGGAGGUAGGGGUCUGUGGAACUUCCGGUGGAGCGGUGAAAUGCGUUGAUAUCGGAAGGAACACCAGUGGCGAAAGCGGCUCCUGGUCCAGCACCGACGUUCAGGCACGAAAGCGUGGGGAGCAAACAGG
rnacentral:rRNA from 1 species